rnacentral:rRNA from 1 species
UUUUGACCGUGCAAAGGUAGCGCAAUCACUUGUCUCUUAAAUGGAGACCUGUAUGAAUGGCUAGACGAGGGCUUAACUGUCUCCCCCCCCCAGUCAGUGAAAUUGAUCUAUCCGUGCAGAAGCGGGUGUAAUUAUACAAGACGAGAAGACCCUUUGGAGCUUAAGGUACAGUAUUCAACCACGUUAAACGACUCCACAAGAAGCACGAACUUAGUGGUAAUUAACUUUUACCCUCCGGUGGGGGCAACCCCGAAGAAAAAGGAGCCCCCCAAUUGAAUGGGUCCAAUCCCCAAAGCCCAUUAAAUCCUUUUAUAACCCCCAAAUAUCCGAACCAUAAUUAACCCGAUUGAAAGGCCCAACCACGGACCAAGUUACCCUAGGGGAAUAACAGCGCAAUCCUCUCCCAAAAUUCCCUUAUCGACAAAGGG